rnacentral:misc_RNA from 1 species
ACUUGAUCUCGAGCCUCGGUUUCCCUCUCGGUACUUGUUUCAUCUCCGAGAGCAACGCUCAGCACAAAGCCGCUUGUAGAAAAUCGAAAAACAAGCGUUCACGCGCCUAGAGAGCAGCGUACGAGGUCAAGGCAUUGCCCCGAAGAAGCCAGCGGUAUCAGGGAACUGCAGUGGGCACGUCAACUGAGGAGCGCAUCGCGAGGAGCCUUCUGUACCCGUCAAGGGCAUGGGCUGAGCGAUACGGUGAGCGUUCACGCUCUGCAGAGUGGCGCUGCCACCAGGCGGAAAUUUGCCGGAGACAUGCAUUCGAGUGCCUGACCAAAGUCAAGUGUCGCCGCUGCGAAGCGCGCACCGAGGCUGUUUCCGACAAGUACGAAACCGAAAAGCGAAGCGUGAUUCGCGACUUGAGCCUGUGGACAUCGUGCGUCGACACCAGCCGAAGCCCGUGAUACCCGGACUUGGAAGCUGUUGUUGUUGUUGUCGUCGUCGUCAUGCAGUGACUACUGGAAACAGAGCUGGCGAGACGAACACGAUCCGCGUACGUAAACGCCGGAAAUAAAAGAGGGAAUAUGCGGCAGUUGCAGACAUAGCUUUCAACAACCGGUAUUCAUGAGAAUGAAAAGAGACCCAAACUUUAGGCUGUACACCCGUGUUCGAGUACCUGCUCCAUGAUAUCACGAGAUACGUGUAUUCUCUACAUCGAAGAAGGCACACAACGGUUUACGAGCCAUGAAGCAUGAAACGAGAUCGUGCGUUCGGCGGAAUCGUACAUAUUGCUUUAGUCUUUCAACGCAACGAUAUUGCAUAUCCGAAUCAUGUCAUCGAAUGCUUUUUCGCGGAGUAUAUCAAGAGAUCGAAAUCACGAUGCAAUGCACCAUACAGAUCGUAGACGAAUUACCAAUAAAACAUAUGCGUUACAGAACAGUGCAACGAGGACUGCAUCCCUCCUUCUGUUCAGUUAUACCACAGGACGCAGAUGAGAGAAGAACACAGAAAGAAACAAGUAUAUUUGCUCCGGCCCCAAAACUGGUAUUCUUAACGUGUGCUUGCUGUAAAUGGUAGAGAACAAGCAGUUGAGCACCUUUUACGGAAGGCAAAAGCAACGACACUAGCUACCACCGGCGCCUCUGUUUCUCUACAGCUUGUUCGUGUGGCACUGAAAACACUGGGAUAGAGUCGCAGAAAAAGGGUGCUAGUUCAUGAAUGGCCAUUUUCCAUAGGAACCACGACUACAGCGUUCCUGGAACGUCGCAAUUGGUAUUAGGGACCGAAAAGGCGACCUGUUUUCAUCAGUAGAUGACACUUGCUUCGGCCGAAACGGUCGCAGCGGCUAUGGGUAUUUGCGGAGCACGGAGCCCGUGGUAUGUACAAUCGAACUCCAAGAGGACUAAGACAUCAUUAUCUGUUCGACCUGCAUUGGAUACAUUUGGCGGCAUCAGUUUCCCCCGUAGAGAAAGCUCAUACUACAGCACCAACCACUGUGUCGAAUUAUUGAAGACCUUUUCUCCUGAAUGUCUCUUGACGCCCUUGUAUUGAACGUUGCAUUUCAACGUUCCGCUUGCGUUCGAGCUUUUGUCGAUUCUAUCUGGGUAGAGCUGCUUUUCGAUCCUCCGUGCUUAGCGUGUUUCAACCCCAUCGAACGAGUCUUUCGUAUCCUGAUACGUAAUGAUCGCUCCACUGGACGAAGCAUCGAAGCUUUGAACACGCGGUGACAUUCCGGGACACCUGUCGUCUUUCUUGUACAAGUGCUCCUCUCGCAGGGAACGCCCUCACAUGAGGGCAUGAACAAGUGCGUUCAUUUUGAAGAAAUAAAAAAUCCAAGGGAAAG